rnacentral:tRNA from 1 species
GGGUUGGUAGCUCAGUCGGUAGAGCAGCGGACUUUUAAUCCGUUGGUCCCGGGUUCGAAUCCCGGCCAACCCACC